rnacentral:piRNA from 1 species
UAGUAGGACACACUUUCUAAAAGGCAGCAU